rnacentral:rRNA from 1 species
UACGUAGGGACCAAGCGUUGUUCGGAUUUACUGGGCGUAAAGGGCGCGUAGGCGGCGUGGUAAGUCACUUGUGAAAUCUCUGAGCUUAACUCAGAACGGCCCAAGUGAUACUGCUGUGCUAGAGUGCAGAAGGGGCAAUCGGAAUUCUUGGUGUAGCGGUGAAAUGCGUAGAUAUCAAGAGGAACACCUGAGGUGAAGACGGGUUGCUGGGCUGACACUGACGCUGAGGCGCGAAAGCCAGGGGAGCAAACGGG